CUUCCUAUUUGUUUCGGAUGUUGGGAAUCAUAUUGAAUAUUACUUCUUUUUCUACCGAUGAACGAAAUAAUUAAUUUAUUGUUGUGCUUAACCAGUCACGGAGAUUUUUGAACCACAAUAUCCUUCGUCUUCCAAUAUUUUUAUUACCAACAAUUUUUCUUUAAGUUUAAGUUGCAGCAACCCAUACAUUUGGUUAUUUCUCAUUAUGUGACCAAAGUAUUCUAAUUACAAUUAUU